AUGUGGACAUUAAAACAUGAACACUCAGAGUGAGGGUUUAAACUUUUGAUGUAUUCUCCUGUGUUAGCGUAGAAUUAAGAAUGAUAGCAUGCUGUAUUGUGAUUUUUAAAUGGAAAACUGUCUAAUAAUGCAGUUCAUGGAUUUGUGUCUGUGGAAUGCUCCUCGUCCGGUAUUGACAGCCCUACAGAUAUCUUUCCUAUGGUUCAAAACACAAUUGAAAUUAUAAUAUAAAAAAUUGCAUUAGUAUUAAAUCAGGCAGAUGCGUUGCUGGUGGUCAAAUUAAUGCGGUAUUAAACAUAUAAAUAAUCUCACCCUUAAAUAGCCAAAGAUUUCACAUGUUUGUGAACAUGCAUAGGCUACCUGAAAAAGAUGCACAGGAUUCAUCUGCUUUUUCUUUUUAACUUCACAUCGCCAGACAGCUGUUGUCUUUUCCCGGGCAUAGUUGUAUUAAGUUGUCAGCCAGCAGCAAACACAAGGUGGGGCACGCGAGCAUGCGGAAAUGAAUGGCGUGUCACGGAGGGAAGGCAUCUGAACUCGACAAAGACGAUCUGAUUUAUAGUAAAAUUUUAAUUCAGUAAAUAUAUAUGUUUGGCAGGGAAGCUGUGCAGGAAUAUAUAUUCAUUUAUUUAAAAAAAAAAAAAAACACCCCAGAAAAAAGAGCACUUUCUCUCGAUGAAGAAAAAGGGCAAGUGCUCAAGCCCCCUUUUAUGUCUAUGUGCGCACGUGCCUGCAACACUGUAUCUAUUUCCCAUCUUUAGUAAUAACAAAUAUAAUUCGGGAGCUGUGACGUCACUCUCCACCCCACUUUGCCUAAAUUGCAUGAAACCACUGCCAUUUGUUUGUGCUUGAUUUGUGCCGUUAAAACAAACAUUGUAACUAAGACCUCUUCUUAAAUAUAAUGCAAAAAUGAACAGUUAUGUAACUAUGUAAAGACCGGUGUCGUUCGUUUGUGCUCGAUUUGUGCUGUUAAAAUGAACAUUCUAUUUAUUCGCCCUCCAUCCAAAUUGUUCCAAACUGGUAUUGUUCGUUUGUGCUCGAUUUGUGCUGGUUUGUGCAGUUAAAAGAAUUUAAUUCCCAAUCUUCCACCACCAAACAGAAUUGUCCGUGAUUUAGUGCACGCACAAGAAUAAAACUAAUGUUAUGCCAGUUUAUGCAAUUGCUUGCAAUGACAGAUUAUGUCAGGUAAAAGGGGAGAAAACAUUCUGCAGAUGUUUAAUGUUGUGUGUGCUGGCUUUAUUUCUUCAGCAACUUCAAGUUUAACAGACUUUUGUGUUUUGUACAUACCGUUUUGUUUAUAUUCACGUGUGGCUUUAUUGCACCCAUUCUGAGACUUUUUUUUCUGUGAUUCACAGUCUUUAAAUCUAUAUAAUUUGUACUGUCAUUUGAUUUCUAUACUAAAGUAUGUAUGAAUAAAUUGUACUAUUUCUUUUUCACUAGUGCCGAUACAUCUUGCCCUGACCUCUCAUAAUUUCUUGAAGUGUAUGCACAAUACUUGUGUCUUGAACACAGUUCAAAUCAACCUUCAUUAUUGUCUGUCAGUGUGGCUUUGUGUUUACUUGUUGCAUAGCAAAUUUUACAAAAAUGAUACAGAAUUUUUUGUUUGGAGCACAGAAUUCACAAAAAAACUUGUUUGAAAUCCAUAUGUGCUACCGAACAUGAUUGGAGUAAUUGGACUAAGAUCAAAACACAAACAGUAUUGAACUAGCAACAUCAGGUUCAUGUCUUUGAUUUCCGUUGAAUGCAUGAACUGAUCAAAUGGCUUCAUUUUGUUUUGACAGAAAAUCUCCUUAACACAAGUCAGUUUUGGCUGUGCAUGUCUUUUAAGACUCAGGCAGUCUUAGACACAGGAAUAUACUGAAUGAAAAACUUUCUCAGGUUUAUGUUCAGCUCAGAAGGGAAAAUAGUUCAGUGUGAUGAUAGUGGUGAAUGCAGUUAUGAUCUGUUUUUACAUCGUGGCACUGGAAAAUCAUGAAGAUUGAAUUGGAUGGCUCUGUGUGACUGUUUCUGCAGAUACAGUGCAUUCUUAUGGAUUUAACAUGGUCAAAUAAUAACUCAGGAUUACUAACCCCACUACCAUGGGUGAAGGCAAAAGGCUUGUGCCAGUCUGCUAGAGCUACAGGGAGUUUGAAGGGGAGUCUGAAAUCAGUGUAUGUUGAUGGAGAUGGAGGUCUUGACCCAUGUCCCCGAUGCUCCGUGGACCACCCAUGAUCGAGCUGGGAUAUACCAAAUACCCAUUGGUAUACAGGGGUACAUACCAAGCCUUUGUGGAUAUCGUUGCACCAAACUCCAAUUUACCAAAGCUUGGUUCAACCCGAUACAAUAAAAAUAAUGGAAUGAAGGUGAGGUGUAUGAAUAAUGGCCCAUUUCUAUUGAGUGGGCAUUUGUGGGAAUGUUCACUGGUGGUACGCAACCUGCCACGAAUGUCAGCUGGUGAAUCCAAAACUUUGGGCUCUUUGAAGAAUGAAACACAAUUUAUCAGAAAAACACAAUACGCACCUUGUACUCCCAGAGAUUCUGUGGCAGUUUGACUUUGAGCUCUUUGAUUUUUUGGACUUCAUCCAGUAUGACUUGUCUGUGUGAUGGAUUCUCAACCCUGAAUGGAGCAGCAGACAGUUCUUCAUCUCUGAGACGAGCCAACAAACUGACAAACACACACAGAUCAAGUGAUGUACAUUAACUACUAUAACAGUAUAUACAUUAAAUAUACAUUAAGCUUUGGACUGCCUUUAGCUUUGAUUACGACAUGCAUUAGUGGUGGCAUUGUUUCGAUGAGCAUGGCCGUACUAAGGGUUUUAGAAAUACAGAGGUCCACAGAGCUUUUGGGGCAUACACCACAUGGAAAAAAUCUCCUGAUCUAAAAAUUUAAGACAUCUCGAGUGCAAGAUUGGAUUGUAAAUUUUCUAGAUAUUGUGGGCAAUCUCUUUUUUUUUUUUUUUGGGUAUGGGGGUCAAUCCAUAAAUAUUAAAAUACAUUACACAUUGUCAUGUGUCAAUGGCUGCAAUGAAGCGCAUGACGAUAGAGAAUCCAAUAAACAAUCUUUAAUAAUUAAAUCUAA